rnacentral:pre_miRNA from 1 species
AACAUGAUUGCUGGAUCAUAUGGUAAGAGUAUGUUUAACUUUGUAAGGAACUGCCAAAUUGUUUUUGAAAGUGGCUGUACCAUUUUACAUUCCCAUCAGCAAU